AGGCAAGUAACAAAAACUAUUCAGGCAAAAAAGAUAACAACAUGGGUGCUGCGUGCACCGCGCUGACUGCAUCUCAUGAACAGCUAUUUGUUUUUUUGUUCUGCUCUUCCAUCAUAGUUUGUACUCCCUUCGAUCCAAAAUAAGUGUCGGUGAUUUAGUACAAAUUGUAUACUAGAUUAUUACAACUAUUGUUCUCAGGCCCAGUCCACAUUUCAGUUGGGCAGGAGUAUAUGGCAUAUGAUAUAUUUGGGUCAUCCAUUCAUACGGUGAGGUAGAUUCAUAGGGACAGUGGUAGCAAACCAAACCUUUCCCACACAUCAAGCUCGAGAGAGUAUCAUCUUCACUUGGUUCUUCCCCUAGACCAUCUUCACUUAACUGCAACAUAACCAAUGUAAAAUUGGAAAAUAUGUUACAUGUCUCAUAGUAUUCUGCAGAGGCAAAAUUAAUAUGAUUUUUUUUUUCAUUAACUAAGAUGCUCAAGAUAGGUAGAUCUAAAUUUCAUAGAUGGAGUAGAGAGGCUUGGUAGUUUUAGAGGCGCCGUAAAUGACAUAAGUUCAGUAUGGUCUACGCUGGCUUUUGGUGAAAACAAAGUAAAAUUGGAAAGUAUCUAGGAAUACAAAGACAAAGAAACAUGGAAGAUUCUGUAUGAGCUCGACUAUUAUCGUCAUUGACCGCAAGUUAACCAUGAUGAGGCUAUGAAUCUAGAUCAAGCCCAGUUGAACGUUAUUUUUCACGCUUUCAUCGCCUCCUCCGGCUCCGCGACGGCAUCGCAGUCGUGACAGUGUCUCUUCUGAUGAUGGCAUGGUUCUUCUGAUCUUCAGAGUUCGGUUUUCGUGUUUCUUCUAAUGUGUAGCUGUUCUGAUCAUGAUGUGCUUUCGAUGUCUGCAUAUGCAGCUGGUGGACGAGUCUGCUGUCGGCGGGGCUCCGCUACCUCUGUGUUGUCUUCUCUGGCUCCACGUCGGUGUCGUGGGCUGGAGGACGUUACUUCUGUGUUGGCUGUUUCCGCCGGCGGGGUUAGUUCUUCUGUGAUUGCGCAUGACCGCCAGACUGCUUCUUUUCUUUUUGGCCUUGGGCGUGGCUGUCACAUUAUUGGCCAUGGUGGUGCUCAUCCGCUGUCUCUGCAUACUGCAUGGACUGUGCUUCGCUUCUCCUUGGAUGGGUUUGUGUCCGUGUCUUCGCCUCUUCAGGCUGAUGCGUGGAGGAGACCGGGAGAUUUGGUUGGCCAAGCGGCCUGUCCAUCCUGUACCUAAAAAUAUCAUUGACAGUAUUAGAGAUGGCAGUAUUUCGGUCCCCCCUGCUCCCGCUGGUUCAUCAUUGCAGCCAUUGUUUCCAGCCGGUUCUUCAGAUCUUGGUGCCUUCCAAAUUCCGGUUUCUUUGUUGUGUACUUCUUUUUAGGAGAUGUCCUGUAAAAUGAAGAAGUGUCAUUUAGUAGUAUGUAUCCUAAGGUUUAAAAAAUGAAUUAGUUGUGCGUUUCUUUUUA